AGCACAACAUGCAAAAUCUAUCAGCACAACUUAUUUUAGACUCUUGAUUGAUGCUGCUCUACAACAUCUGAUUGGGCUCCACUAUCAGCAAUGCAGCUCGUCAUGUUAGUGGUUUUAUUUGUUGGGUUUACUGGUGAAAGUCAUCAGCAAACCAUCCUCUCAAUCCAGGACAGUCCAGUCCAGGCUCUACAAGGAGACGGCGUGACUCUCUCCUGCAACUACUCUUCAGCAACAUCCUUCUUCUGGUAUCGGCAGUACCCCAGCUCACCUCCCCAGUUCCUUAUCAAAGAUUACAUGGAGCUAUCUGGAUUUACCUUGAAAAAGGACAGUGAAAGAAAAGUGUUUGCUCUCGAGAUCUCCUCUGCUGCAGUGACAGACUCUGCUCUGUACUACUGUGCUGUGCAGCCCACAGUGACAGGAAACACAGACUCCCUGUACAAAAACCUGACAAGGAACUGGAAGAGCAUUUGUCAUUGCUUUCAACUGUGGUUCAGGGGAGGGGCAACUGGAGAGGUGAAUUCACCAGGAGUCUAGUGAAGAAACAGUAUGUUACAACUAGGAUACAGAGGUAGAAUGUUUAGCUUCAGGGCUCCCAUGGGGUUUGAAAUGAUGGCAGUCCUCUUUCUACUUCUAGUUUGUAAAUUAACAAGUCACAGCCCACCAGAAACUAAAAAAUUAAAGGGAACAUGUGUCUCCAUGGCAACAUGUUUACAGAUUAACAUUAUCUUUACAGGUGUUUACAGUGUGGACCCCACUCCUGUCAAGCAGAAAGAGAACAGUUUAGAAGGUACAAGUGUUACUCUGUCCUACACGCUCUCU